rnacentral:rRNA from 1 species
UACGUAGGCAGCGAGCGUUGUUCGGAAUUACUGGGCGUAAAGAGUGUGUAGGCGGUGCUCUAAGUUCGGUGUGAAAUCUCUCGCUUAACUGGGAGGGUGCGCCGGAAACUGGAGUGCUCGAACGUGGGAGAGGAAAGCGGAAUUCCUGGUGUAGCGGUGAAAUGCGUUGAGAUCCACAGGAACUCCGGUGGCGAAGGCGGCCUGCUGGACCCCACCUGACGCUGAGGCGCGAAAGCCAGGGGAGCGAACGGG